rnacentral:lncRNA from 1 species
UACCGGUUACUGGGUAAUAAGCUCAACGAGACAUGUGAUCUGUACACCGGUAUAAGGGUGAUAGAACAACAUGCUCGGGAAGAAUGAAUAUCUAAGACCGGUAUAAGGGUGAGAGAUAUUAAACAUCCGAGAUUAUCUGAGGAAGACCUAAAAAAGGUAAACUUUAACUCAGGAGAAUCUGACUCCGCAGGGGGACAAAAAG